rnacentral:RNase_P_RNA from 1 species
CUGGCUGAUCAAGUAGUCGCUGAACACUGAUUUUAUCUGUGUUCAGAGGAAAGUCCGGACACCAAAGGACAGCAUAGCGGGUAACGCCCGCCUAUUUUUCGAUUGGUUCAGGCUUGCUUGAGCUUGUCGAAGGGUAAGGACUAGUGGAACAGAGACGAGCCGGUUAAGUCCGGUUGAAACGGCCAAACUCUAUGCGGUGCAAACUCAAAUAGGCUGUGAGGAGCGGUCCGCUCCGUUUGGAACGGCGGGUAGAGCGCUAGAGGUAAACAGCAAUGUUUAUCCCAGAUAAAUGACUGCUAAUACAGAAUCCGGCUUAUUCGAUCAGCCUUAAGU